AACACACCCGCCACAAAUAUAGAAAAUUUUUGAAACAAAUGGAUAGAGUCUUCCCUAUAUUUGUACGGCGUAGCACAUGUAUGAUUUAACAACCAGAUCUCCACUCACACACACAACAAUAGGAUAUACAAGAAUCAUCAUAAUACAUCAAAUAGCUAGCCCUCCUUAAUCACAUUCAUUCCACAUUCAUUCACAUUCAUCUUAGAAGUUGAAAUUGUCUCCCACACGAAAACUUUCUUUUUAAAACUCCAACUUUGUGAAAAACCUGAAAAAAUAAUUUAAAAACGUUUCCCAUACGGAAACCAUUAUUUUGAAAAUGCUACCACGA
rnacentral:lncRNA from 1 species